rnacentral:lncRNA from 1 species
AAACACCAGUGAGCUGAAGCCUGGUGCGGGUGCUGAAAGGAUUAAACGCCUUAUCACUGGUUUAAUAUCAGCUGAAGAUUUUCAUGCAAAGCACUGCAUUUGACCCCUGAAGUUUGAAGUGCAGUAGAACAACUUUGUUGAAGUCAACCUUCUUUCACAUAGCGUUUGAUGAGAAAAUUAACACUUCAAAUGUUGUGUCAGUUAUUGAGACAGACUGGUAAUGGGACGGAUAACAGCCUUUUAGGAACUAAAGCGGAAGACUGGAAGGGAAAACACUUCCCACGCAAGAGUAUAUGUUAUACCUUUACCUUUUCAACCUUCUAUACCAUAUUUUGUAGGUAAAUGUUAAUGCAUAGGAUUUCAAAAGAAUGAAAAAAAAAAGGUUAGCUGAUGCUUAGUUAUAUGUGUUGUUCAGUCUCAUAAUGAAGGAAUUUCGUGUGAUGAUGCUUCAUUAAUUCGUUUGAUGCAUCGGGCCUCAACUUCUUGUCUAAGAUGAUUUUUUGAGUUCUGCUAUUUAUCCCAGAGUUUGCUUUCAAGGCUGUUUAGGGUCCCAAGUUUUCAUUGACCCGUCCUGAUUGGGUUUGUAUUUGACUAAAAGAUUAACAAAACAGCAAUAUAUUUGACCAACUAUCUAAUUAAGUAUGCCUUUAAUUCGUGUAUAUUUUCCUCACUUUAUCAGAAGAAUUGUAGGUUCUGGUGUUUGGAUACAUGAUCUUACCAUACUUAGUUUUUAUUGACCAAUCAAUUUCAUUUGCUGAUUUCUUCAGGCUCUGCUUGGAUGAUGCUCUCUCGCCCUUUCAUAGAAUUUUGUUUAUGGGGAUGGGACAAUCUCCCGAGGAUAGUACUCAUGUAUUAUGCCAACUUUUUAUCUUCACCGGAAGGAUAUUUUCAUACUGUUAUCUGCAAUGCUGAGGAGUUCCGCAAUACUACCGUAAAUCACGAUCUUCAUUUCAUAUCUUGGGACAAUCCUCCAAAACAACACCCACAUUUCCUCAAUGUUGAUGACUACCAGAGGAUGGUCGACAGCAAUGCCCCCUUUGCCAGGAAAUUUGGUAGAAAUGAACCAGUUCUUGAUAAGAUUGACUCUGAGCUGCUAGGCCGCAUUGCUGAUGGAUUUGUGCCCGGUGGAUGGUUCAACAACAAAAGAAAUUCAAACUUAACUGCUCCAAAUCAUGCAGUGGCAAACACCAGUGAGCUGAAGCCUGGUGCGGGUGCUGAAAGGAUUAAACGCCUUAUCACUGGUUUAAUAUCAGCUGAAGAUUUUCAUGCAAAGCACUGCAUUUGACCCCUGAAGUUUGAAGUGCAGUAGAACAACUUUGUUGAAGUCAACCUUCUUUCACAUAGCGUUUGAUGAGAAAAUUAACACUUCAAAUGUUGUGUCAGUUAUUGAGACAGACUGGUAAUGGGACGGAUAACAGCCUUUUAGGAACUAAAGCGGAAGACUGGAAGGGAAAACACUUCCCACGCAAGAGUAUAUGUUAUACCUUUACCUUUUCAACCUUCUAUACCAUAUUUUGUAGGUAAAUGUUAAUGCAUAGGAUUUCAAAAGAAUGAAAAAAAAAAGGUUAGCUGAUGCUUAGUUAUAUGUGUUGUUCAGUCUCAUAAUGAAGGAAUUUCGUGUGAUGAUGCUUCAUUAAUUCGUUUGAUGCAUCGGGCCUCAACUUCUUGUCUAAGAUGAUUUUUUGAGUUCUGCUAUUUAUCCCAGAUCAAACCCCGGGUCAAGCCCCGAAAAAUUAGUAAAAUGACGCCGUUUCGAC